GCCCAAGAAUGUCUUCAAAUCCAACUUACGACGUUUGUGUCAUCGGUGCUGGUGUGGUGGGCAGCUCCACAGCCCGUUACCUGGCUUCCCGAGGACAAAGAACACUUCUAUUAGAGCAGUUUCCUCUUCCUCACUGGCGUGGCAGUUCUCAUGGACAGACUAGAAUCAUUCGUUUCUCCUAUGUUAACCCUUAUUAUUCUAAAAUGGUUCGAGAAGCUGGUGAAAUGUGGAAGGAGAUUGAAGAAAAAGCAGAGCAGGAAAUUCUUAUCAAAACUGUUGGACUGUUAACAGUGGAAGGAAGCUCUGGUGAAAAUCUGAGAGAAGUUAGAGAAUCACUUGAUGCAGCAGGAGCAAGUUAUGAUAUUUUGUCAAACCAAACACUUAAGCAAAGAUUUCCAGAGUUGAGCUUUCCGCCUCACUACAAAGCUCUGUUAGAACACUCAGCAGGAAUUUUAAAAGCUGAUAAAUGCUUGAGAGUGUUGCAGGAUCAGUUUAUUGCAUUUGGUGGCACACUAAGAGAUGGUGAGGGUGUGGUUGAAAUACAUCCAGGAUCAUUAAUUACAAUAAAGACCACAAAGGAUUUGUUCAAAGCUCACAAAGUGAUAUUAACAGCAGGACCCUGGACCAAUAAACUGCUAAAACCUGUGGGAAUUACCUUGCCUCUAAAGCCACUCAGAGCCAAUGUUUUUUACUGGAAGGUGAAAAAAACAGGCACAUACAGUCUUCAGAGUGGUUUUCCUACAUUUUAUGAUGAUACAGCAUCUGACCCUCGCAAGUUUUAUGCACUCCCUUCAUUUGAGUAUCCUGACAUGGUUAAGUUUGGGCCCUCUGGUGGAUGCAGAUUACCAGAAGUUUGCAUGGAAAUUGAUCCAGAUGCAAGAGAUUGGGACAGAGAAAUCGAAGAGAGGAUUAUUCAGAGAACAAGAGAAUACAUCCAGCAUCACUUUCCAUACCUUGAUCAUCAUGAGCCAACCAUAGUAGAAACUUGUAUAUACACAGGAAAAGUGGUCAGGAGAAAUAAGGUUGACCAAACUUAAUAUGAAAUUGUUUUUAAAUCCAGCUGACCCCUGAUGAGAAUUUUGUGUUGGAUAAACAUCCCAAGUUUUCUAACAUUAUUAUUGGUGCUGGCUUUUCAGCGCAUGGAUUCAAGCUUGGUCCUGUUUGUGGCAAGAUUUUAGCACAGCUGGCCAUGAAUGAGACACCAACC
rnacentral:misc_RNA from 1 species